CCUACGGGUGGCAGCAGUGAGGAAUAUUGGUCAAUGGGCGCGAGCCUGAACCAGCCAAGUAGCGUGAAGGAUGACUGCCCUACGGGUUGUAAACUUCUUUUAUAAAGGAAUAAAGUGAGGCACGUGUGCCUUUUUGUAUGUACUUCAUGAAUAAGGAUCGGCUAACUCUGUGCCAGGAGCCGCGGUAAUACGGAGGAUCCGAGCGUUAUACGGAUUUAUUGGGUUUAAAGGGAGCGUAGAUGGGUGUGUAAGUCAGUUGUGAAAGUUUGCGGCUCAACCGUAAAAUUGCAAUUGAUACUGGCAGCCUUGAGUACAGUUGAGGUAGGCGGAAUUCUUGGUGUAGCGGUGAAAUGCUUAGAUAUCACGAAGAACUCCGAUUGCGAAGGCAGCUUACUAAACUGCCACUGACGUUGAUGCUCGAAAGUGUGGGUAUCAAACAGGAUUAGAUACCCUAGUAGUC
rnacentral:rRNA from 1 species